GCCCUUGUAGCUCAGCGGAUGAGAGCGCCUCGCUACGAACGAGGAGGCCGCAGGUUCGAAUCCUGCCAAGGGUGC
rnacentral:tRNA from 1 species